rnacentral:rRNA from 1 species
UGGCGGACGGGUGAGUAACGUCUGGGAAACCGCCUGAUGGAGGGGGGUAACUACUGGAAACGGUAGCUAAUACCGCAUAACGUCGCAAGACCAAAGAGGGGGACCUUCGGGCCUCUUGCCAUCGGAUGUGCCCAGAUGGGAUUAGCUAGUAGGUGGGGUAACGGCUCACCUAGGCGACGAUCCCUAGCUGGUCUGAGAGGAUGGCCAGCCACACUGGAACUGAGACACGGUCCAG